rnacentral:rRNA from 1 species
UUAGUCGCAUGCUGUAGACCCGAAGCGGGGUGAUCUAGCCAUGGGCAGGGUGAAGCGCCGGUAAGACGGUGUGGAGGCCCGAACCCACCAGGGUUGAAAACCUGGGGGAUGACCUGUGGUUAGGGGUGAAAGGCCAAUCAAACUCCGUGAUAGCUGGUUCUCCCCGAAAUGCAUUUAGGUGCAGCGUCGUGUGUUUCUUGCCGGAGGUAGAGCUACUGGAUGGCUGAUGGGCCCUACAAGGUUACUGACGUCAGCCAAACUCCGAAUGCCGGUAAGUGAGAGCGCGGCAGUGAGACUGCGGGGGAUAAGCUUCGUAGUCGAGAGGGAAACAGCCCAGAUCAUCGGCUAAGGCCCCUAAGCGUGUGCUAAGUGGUAAAGGAUGUGGAGUUGCUGUGACAACCAGGAGGUUGGCUUAGAAGCAGCCACCCUUGAAAGAGUGCGUAAUAGCUCACUGGUCAAGUGAUUCCGCGCCGACAAUGUAGCGGGGCUCAAGCACACCGCCGAAGCCGUGGCAUUCAUGAGUUUUCAUGGAUGGGUAGGGGAGCGUCCUGCAGCCGGCGAAGCCGCCGAGUGAUCGAGUGGUGGAGGCUGUGGGAGUGAGAAUGCAGGCAUGAGUAGCGCAUCACACGUGAGAAACGUGUGCGCCGGAUGACCAAGGGUUCCUGGGGCAGGCUAAUCCGCCCAGGGUAAGUCGGGACCUAAGGCGAGGCCGACAGGCGUAGUCGAUGGACAACGGGUUGAUAUUCCCGUACCCGCUGGUAUGCGCCAACGCCGAGCCCACUGAUGCUAAGACUCUGAAACCCUUCGUGGGCCUUCGGGCCUGUGGAUGGGCGUAGCGGUCGGUCCGAGGUGGUAGUAGGUGAGCGAUGGGGUGACGCAGGAGGGUAGCUCAGCCCAGGCGAUGGUUGUCCUGGGGUAAGCAUGUAGCCCGGGAGAUAGGCAAAUCCGUCUCUCGUUAAGGGUGAGAUGUGAUGCCGAGCCGUUUUAGGUGAAGUGAGUGAUCCCAUGCUGCCGAGAAAAGCCUCUAGUGAGUGUACCGGCGGCCCGUACCCUAAACCGACUCAGGUGGUCAGGUAGAGAAUACCAAGGCGAUCGGGUGAACUGUGGUUAAGGAACUCGGCAAAUUGCCCCCGUAACUUUGGGAGAAGGGGGGCCUCGUC